rnacentral:lncRNA from 1 species
AUGGAAUCGCUCAGCUGCUGGAAAGGAUCUCGCAGGCUCUCCGGCCGGAUCCCCUCACUUUCCAGACGAAUAAGCUGGAGCAGAGAGGCUAAGUGCCUUGCUGAAGGACAGCACUCACCACGGGGCCACGAGUCCCACUCAAGGUCGCAGCCAGCGGGUCCCAGCCGUCGGUCACGCAUGCACUCUGCCCAGAGGCAUAGGGCCUCAGCCGCAGGAGUUCCCCGGGCUGCGUGCAGUUACUCCAGGAGCCGACGGCGGGAGCAGCCUCCUGGGCAGACGGCCGCGGAGGACAGGAUUCCCAAGGCCCAGAAGGGCGCCCAUCGGCCCAAGGUCACCCCACGCAGCUGGCAGAGCCCAUCCCAUGGGCCCCGGCUGCAUCCCAAGCGGCCCUCCCAGGCCCAGAGGGUCCUGGUGACAGCAGGGGGGUGGCUAAUGAUGCCAGCCUCCAUGGGCUCUGCAGAGAAGGCCCCACAGCCUGCAGACAGAGAAGCAGCAGGUGACAGCUCUCUAACCGCAGCUGAGGACAGGCUGGGGUUUUGGCGGCUUGGACAAUUAACACAGCUGGGCACCGGUCUGAUGGGCCCUGGUGGGGGCCUUGCCCGGAAAUGCCUCCUCUCCAGGCUCGGGGAUCAGGGCCUCUGUCCCCGCGCAGAGACUGAGGGGGCCCUGCCGGCCUUCUCGCCGGCAGUGAGCGGCUCAGACAGGCACAGACGGCCCACUUGGCUGGUGGCAGCGAGGACUCCACGAUGAACAGGAACCUGUCCCCAUGUCUCCUGAUUCCAGCCCUGAGCUCGCCCGGCUACAGUGCUCUCCAGAGCUAAGCAUCUGGCCUGGGACCUGAGUUCUGCAGGCCCGGAAGGGUCUGUUUGUCCCAGAACCACCCCGCACGCCCCAGCCUGGAGGCGCCCCCCAUUCCUGCUGCCCCGGCUUCUGCACGUCCUGCCACGCACCUCAGAUCACACGCACGUCAAUGAGACACUCCUUCAUGACGGCCUUUGCCCAGAGGUGCUCAGGGACGGCGGCGGGAUGACGGGAUGAUCAGACAUCGGCAGCCCCCAGGACACACGGUCCCCUCCCGCGCCCUCCGGACGGGGUGUUGCGGGCACCCCAGCUGAGC